rnacentral:rRNA from 1 species
AAACCAACAGGGAUUACCUCAGUAACGGCGAGUGAAGCGGCAAAAGCUCAAAUUUGAAAUCCCCCGGGAAUUGUAAUUUGAAGAGAUUUGGGUCCGGCCGGCGGGGGUUAAGCCCACUGGAAAGUGGCGCCACAGAGGGUGACAGCCCCGUGAGCCCCUUCAACGCCCUCAUCCCAGAUCUCCAAGAGUCGAGUUGUUUGGGAAUGCAGCUCUAAGUGGGUGGUAAAUUCCAUCUAAAGCUAAAUACCGGCGAGAGACCGAUAGCGAACAAGUACAGUGAUGGAAAGAUGAAAAGCACUUUGAAAAGAGAGUGAAAAAGUACGUGAAAUUGUUGAAAGGGAAGGGCUUGCAAGCAGACACUUAACUGGGCCAGCAUCGGGGCGGCGGGGAGCAAAACCACCGGGGAAUGUACCUUUCGAGGAUUAUAACCCCGGUCCUUACUCCCUCACCAUCCCGAGGCCUGCAAUCUAAGGAUGCUGGCGUAAUGGUUGCAAGUCGC